rnacentral:lncRNA from 1 species
CAGCAGAAUGUGGUGGAAAUAUUCAGGCCCUGAAGGUAAGAUGUCUGGCUUAUAGGCUAGUCCUACUACUAUUCUUGUUGUUAAUUCUCCUAAGUCAUUAGACUUCUCUGUCUGUUUCCAAAAGUACAAAAUAUUAUUUAAAAUGUGUGUUUUCCAGAAAUCGGUAAUACUGCUUUAGAAAAACCACCUCUUUCCAUUUCUUCUUUUAGGAGAUCUUCAUUGAUACGAUUCUGUCAAAUUCCUCCUUAAGUAAGAAUCAUAGAAGAUGAGAAAAGACAUGUAAAUCUGGAUGAAGCUGUAGCUGUAAAGAUGGAACGCAACUCAUUAUUUUUGAACACAGAACCUUCCUGAGACUAAGAUGGCAGUGACCACUAAUGGCUUUCCACAAUUCCAUGCUAUACAAUCCAGAAAUGUUGGAGGACCUUCAAUGGAUGAGAAAUUGUGGAUCAUCUGAAAAGAUAAAAUCAAAACAGAAUGCAUUGAUGAAGACAAUUCCAAUCACAGCAUGCACAGCGCAGAGUUGUUAUAGAUUGGGUAACUUCAUCAAGACAUCCAUGACUGAAGGUUGUGGAUUCUGAAGGUAGGAAAAAGUGCAGGGACUUUGACAUCUUUAAGCCUUUGAGGUCUAUCCUGUUCCAGUUAUCACUAUGAACUUUGUUUUAUUGGCCCUCUAGCCUUCUUUUCUCCUGCUUCUCUCUUGAGCCCACUCAAUUUAACCUUCUUAUAUAUUGGACCUAUGUCUCCCAUCCAAUCUUGGAAGUUUUCCUAUGGGCUUUUAAUCCCUUCAAUACCCCCCACCACCACAAGAAGGGAGGAAGGAAGGAAGGAAGGAAGGAAGGAAGGAAGGAAGGAAGGAAGGAAAAGGGGAAGGGGAAGGGAAAGGGGAGGGCAGGAAAGAAAAGAAAGAGACUUUUUAAU